UGGUUUAAUUCGAAGCAACGCGAAGAACCUUACCAAAUCUUGACAUCCUUUGACAACUCUAGAGAUAGAGCUUUCCCCUUCGGGGACAAAGUGACAGGUGGUGCAUGGUUGUCGUCAGCUCGUGUCGUGAGAUGUUGGGUUAAGUCCCGCAACGAGCGCAACCCUUAAGCUUAGUUGCCAUCAUUAAGUUGGGCACUCUAAGUUGACUGCCGGUGACAAACCGGA
rnacentral:rRNA from 1 species